GACGAACGCUGGCGGCGUGCUUAACACAUGCAAGUCGAACGGAAAGGCCCUGCUUGCAGGGUGCUCGAGUGGCGAACGGGUGAGUAACACGUGGGUGAUCUGCCCCUUACUUUGGGAUAAGCCUGGGAAACUGGGUCUAAUACUGGAUAGGACCAUGCUGUAGGUGGUGUGGUGGAAAGAUUAGUUUCGGUAAGGGAUGAGCUCGCGGCCUAUCAGCUUGUUGGUGGGGUAAUGGCCUACCAAGGCGUCGACGGGUAGCCGGCCUGAGAGGGUGGACGGCCACAUUGGGACUGAGAUACGGCCCAGACUACUACGGGAGGCAGCAGUGGGGAAGAUUGCACAAUGGGCGCAAGCCUGAUGCAGCGACGCCGCGUGGGGGAUGACGGCCUUCGGGUUGUAAACUCCUUUCAGCCAUGACGAAGCCCUUGUGGUGACGGUAGUGGUAGAAGAAGCACCGGCUAACUACGUG
rnacentral:rRNA from 1 species